rnacentral:rRNA from 1 species
GAAGAACGCUGGCGGNAUGCUUAACACAUGCAAGUCGAACGGAAUCUUUAGAGGAUUUAGUGGCGGACGGGUGAGUAACGCGUGANAAUCUGGCUUCANGUCUGGGACAACAGUUGGAAACGACUGCUAAUACCAGGAUGUGCCGAGUAGGUGAAAGGCUUCGCUGNCUGAAGAUGAGCUUGCCGUCUGAUUAACUAGUUGGUGGGGUAAGAGCCUACCAAGGCGACAAUCAGUAGCUGGUCUGAGAGGAUGAUCAGCCACACUGGGNCUGAGACACGGCCCAGACUCNUACGGGAGGCANCAGUGGGGAAUUUUCCCCANUGGGCGAAAGCCUGACGGANCAAUACCGNNUGNGGGANGAAGGCUCUUGGGUUGUAAACCUCUUUUCUCAGGGAANAAAAAAAUGACGGUACCUGAAGAAUAAGCAUCGGCUAACUCCGUGCCAGCNGCCGCGGUAAUACGGAGGAUGCAUGCGUUAUCCGGAAUGAUUGGGCGUAAAGGGUCCGCANGUGGCUGUGUAAGUCUGCUGUUAAAGAGUCAUGCUCAACAUGAUCAAGGCAGUGGAAACUACAAGGCUAGAGUGCGUUCNGGGCAGANGGAAUUCCUGGUGUACGGAAU